CAAGUGCAAAGCCCCAGGGAAUAUGUGCAUUAAUAACCUUGUUUUCCAACUGGUAUCAUGAACCACCCAACACAAACCAAGCAAAGAAAACACCACCUGUGUUUUGACAGCUUCUGCAUGAUGGAAGACAGGGUUCUUGGGAAGAAUAAUUAGCCAGAAAGAAGAACUUACUUGGUAUGACCGAGAGUUUGGUCCCCUUCCCAAAAGUGAGCUGGUAACUCCCGGACCCAGACGCAGCACAGAGGUAGGUGGCCGAGUCUCUGGUCUGCGUGGCUGUGAUGUUCAGGAUGCUGAAAUGUUCUGUUUUAUCUAAUAUGCUACUUAAGCUUCCAGACUUCUUUUCAAUUCC